rnacentral:misc_RNA from 1 species
UUUCCGUAGGUGAACCUGCGGAAGGAUCAUUAUUGUAUAACCGAGGUGCGAGGGCUGUCGCUGACCCGAAAGGUCGUGCACGCCCGAGUGCCCUCACACACAUCCAUCUCACCCCUAUGUGCACCACCGCGUGGGACCCCCUUUGGCUUGUUCGGAGGGGGGCUUACGUUUUCACACAAACUUUGUAUGUAGUGUAGAAUGUAUUUUUUGUUUUUGCGAUCACGCAAUCAAUACAACUUUCAACAACGGAUCUCUUGGCUCUC